rnacentral:rRNA from 1 species
UACGUAGGGGGCAAGCGUUGUCCGGAAUUAUUGGGCGUAAAGAGCGCGUAGGCGGUCCGAUAAGUCGGCUGUGAAAGUCCAGGGCUCAACCCUGGAAAGCCGGCCGAUACUGUCGGACUAGAGUCCGGAAGAGGCAAGUGGAAUUCCCGGUGUAGCGGUGAAAUGCGCAGAUAUCGGGAGGAACACCAAUUGCGAAGGCAGCUUGCUGGGACGGUACUGACGCUGAGGCGCGAAAGCGUGGGGAGCAAACAGGAUAGAAACCCUAGA